UACGUAGGGCGCAAGCGUUGUCCGGAAUUAUUGAGCGUAAAGAGCUCGUAGGCGGCCUGUUGCGUCCGCUGUGAAAUCCCGGGGCUCAACCCCGGGCGUGCAGUGGAUACGGGCUGGCUGGAGGCAGGCAGGGGGAGAACGGAAUUCCUGGUGUAGCGGUGAAAUGCGCAGAUAUCAGGAGGAACACCGGUGGCGAAGGCGGUUCUCUGGGCCUGUACUGACGCUGAGGAGCGAAAGCGUGGGGAGCGAACAGG
rnacentral:rRNA from 1 species